GUUCAGUUGAUGUUGUGACUUUGGUGUCGGUAGUGGUGUUUCGGGGUUCUGACGAUUGUUUGUGUUUAAUUUUGUGGCGUAUUCAAAUGGAAAUGUUUUAAAAAUAUUUAAAUUCUCGAUUAAAAUUUAUUUAAAAUUAUAAUAAUGAAGCAAACAAUUCUAAACAUUUGAUUCGGGUCUUUUAUUAAUCGAAUUGAGAAGAAAACUAAAUACGAACGCAAGAACUUGGAAACCACUGUUUUACCGUUUAAGGUUUAAAAUACAAGAAAAUAUUUAAAAAAGGUUUUAAUUUGCGUUGAAAAACAUCUUAGAUAAACUCGACGGAAAAUCUUAAUUAGCAGUUUUAAAUUCCAAGAAUUUGUGUUUUUUUCCACAAAUUAAAGCGUUAACUAUUGUUAUUUAAAACAAUAGAAUAAUGAAAGGACACCAAAUCCGAGAAUGAACGGGAUUCCUGAAAUAAGUUAAUAUAUUUUUUGUAAUUAU